UAAAAUAUUUUUUUUUCCUUGAAAAGUUGCGAUUUGAAUUCCUGAUCUUGCUCCCGAAGACUUCUCUUCCCCUCUCUAUACAAGAACCCUAAUCGUCUGUUUAGCUUAGCCACAUCCUUAUAUUAUCUCUAUGAAUAACAAAGAAUGAAAGAUUAUGGCUAGAUUUGAUAUAUAGAAGCGUGGUUGAAAUAUUGAGGUUGGAUCAGGAAAAAUCGAAAGUAACAGUCUUUUGUAUAUAGUCGCACCCAUAUGUCCUCUCUAUGAAUAUCCACCGUCAACACCGCCACCAUCCACCAUCAGCCAUCUACAGCCCCUCACCAUAUCCUUUAUUUUAUGUCUCUCACACUCUCAUCAACUCUCGCAAUCUACUAAAAUUGUUCAGGUUUUAAGAUUCUGCCUCUCACCUUCAACGUUUUUCUUUCUUUUUAUUGAUGACCCAUUCAAAUGUUCACAUAUUCUGCACGUGGCUUGAUUGCAGGUUUUAGGGGGGUGGGGGAAAGAGUUGCUUAACGAAGAAAAUGAAGAAGAUGGUUGAUUGUUUUAGUUGGAUUUUCCCUUCCCAUUUCACAUGUUCAUCAUCUCAUAAUCUCAGGUAUUCUACCAGUUUAUGCUUUUCAGUCGUAAAUCGAAUUAUGGUCUUUCAUUUUGAUUUUUUGCUUUAGAAACCCUUAAGGUUCAAUCCCUGAAUCGAAAAUUGAAUUAUAGUCAAGGUAUGGAUUAUUCUAUAUUAUCUUCCUAAUUUUUCUGCAAUUUAGAAUUUUAAAUCGGAAAAUCCCCCAAUCUCGCAUGCUGAUUUCUUGAUUUUUCCAUAAAUUAUUACCUUUUCCUCCCAAAUCUCCAAACCCUUAAACGCCAACCUCAUGGGAUCAAAAUUGAAAUAGAAGAAGAUUUACACGCCUAUUUUGUUCUGAUUUGAAAAUCACAAACACAAACAACUCACAAAUGUUAUGAUUUUCAAUCGGAGAGGAUCUUGGCCUGUAGUUAGGCUGCAGAAAUAACUGGCGAUAUGUCCUUCACCAAAAACUGAUUUCAGUUUUAAUUUUUCCCUUCUUGAUUUGAUCCCAUAAAACCAGUAUAUCUCCUCUUUUCUAUAAACCUAGCCAUCAUUGCAUUUGUUAUUUCAAAGCACUACAUCUCUUCUUCACCAAAAACUUAUUUCAAUCAGAUACACCGUUGAUAAGCCACCCCUCCUUUGGUUUGGUUGAUCUUCGUAUUCCGUCUGCUUUCAUCUCCCUAAUAUUGUAUGCUCUCAUCUAAUUUUCUAGGGUUCUUACACGCAUUUUCAUAUUUUGUAGCCCCAACUUUCAUUCGUUCCAUUUUUUGUCAUUUUUUCAUCCGUUUCCCACAAUCCCAUUAUCAUUGUGAUGAAAUUUUUUCUAUUUUAAUUUUAUUUCCAUUAUUCGAUAUAGGUUGCAAGUGUAAAAUAUGAUAAUCAAGUCUUUUUUUCUUAUGGGUUUAGAUUAUGAGUGUGGUAUAGAAAUUUUUUGGUAGAAUUAGGUUUUUCUAUCUGCAACGAAGACAAGGAUCAAUUUCUCGCUUUUUUUCUUAAUUUUCAAUCUGCAAUUAUACAUAUUUUCAAGUUCGGUCCUAUGAGCCGUUGGUUGUGUAAAGGCGGACAGGUUCUAAUCCAUGUUUACCCCACCAGCGAAACAAUAUUGGAUAAGAUAUGGUCAUAUCAUCUCCUUUAAUCCUUAGUUACAUCAAUUAGAUGUGUUGCAUCUAAAUAUGUGUGUGCUUCAGAUAAAUAUCAAUAAACCCAUAGAAAAUGGUAUUUUUAGCUUUGUAUUUCUCAUUAAUCUUUUGGUUUCUUACAAUUUCAUACUAUAGAUUUCUCAAGCUUUUGAGCAAACCCGACAAGCUGAUUGUGCUCCAUGGUAAUAUGAUGUAAAACCCACUCACACUUGUAAUAGUUACAAAUGAAAGUAAGAUUCUAUGUUACAUUAAUAAAUGAAAGUGCAUUGCUAUUUACUGCUAAGGUUUUGGUUCGAAAAUAGAAGGUAAGGCCCGCUGAUGGGGAGAUGACUUACUCCUAUAAGCUGUACAUUUGAAUUUCUCUCUGACUUGAACAAGAAAAAUAGACUUAACAUAUAUAGUCAACGGAAAUGAGGCUUUUCUCCUUAAGCCCUAACUUUUUACAAAUUUGGCAUCAUAUGUUUUUUUCUUUCCAUUUUCAUUUUCCAAAUGUGCCAUCAUUUUCUUAAAUAUCUUGCAAACAUCAUUUAUCUAGAAGAAACUUAAUAACUAAAAAAAGGUGUUUUUUCUUUUACUUCCACUACUAGAAAAACAGCCUUUUACGACGCUCAUUGCGCGUCGUAAAAGGCUCAGACGACGCGCAAAUGCGCGUCAAGGAAGGCCAUGUCAUAAAGAGAGACGGCGCGAAUUUACGAUACUCAUUUACGACGCGCAAUUACGACGCACGUUUACGACACGCAAUGCGUAUCAAGGAAGCCCUUGUCAUAAAAAAAGACGACACGCAUUCGCGUGUCGCAACCUUAUGACGCGCGUGUUAAUGACACGCAAUACGUAUCAAGAAAGCCCCUGUCAAGAAAGGCCAUGUCAUAAAUGAAGAUGACAC
rnacentral:lncRNA from 1 species